UCACCUCUGUAGCAGACUACACCCACGGGUGGAGGGGAGAAGAUAAGGAUGCGUCUGCGGAGGAGAGCCAGUUUCCACAGCACCAUGAUCUGUUCCCCAAAGAAGCGGAUGAACUGGGACAUACAGCCUGCAGGCUCCCCAGGCGUUGGCUGGACAUGCAGUGACAACACCAUCGCCACUGGGGGGCAGAAGUGCUCUCUUGUCUUCAUAAAAGGCCUCCAGGGGAGAGUAGUGGCCUGGUGACUGAAGCUGGAGCCUGAAGCAGGGGACAAAUAACAGACCUUUAAACCUGCCAACAUGGGAAGUCCUUAAAGUGCUUGGGAACAGAAAUGGAAAUCUGAACAUCUGCAAUUCAGCGACAACGGGACAAACUCCGUCUCCUAUGGAAGAUCAUGUAACAGGAUCAUGAACCUUCACAAGAUCUACUAAAGGGC